rnacentral:rRNA from 1 species
AGUAUGCCUAACACAUGCAAGUCGAGCGGAGAGCAGUAGCAAUACUGUUUUUAGCGGCGAACGGGUGAGUAAUACUUAUCUACUUGCCGAUUAGUGGGGGAUAAUCACGGGAAACUGUGGUCUUCUAACCAAAGGCUGGCCGUGGGAAACCACGGCUAAGUAAUCCCGCAUAUUCUGGCUUCGGUCAGGAAAGGAAAUCGUAAGAUUUUCGCUAAUCGAUAGGGAUAAGUCGCAUCAGCUAGUUGGUAGGGUAAAGGCCUACCAAGGCCAAGACGCGUAGCCGGCCUGAGAGGGUGAUCGGCCACAAGGGAACUGAGACACGGUCCCUACUCCUACGGGAGGCAGAAGUGAGUAAUAUAUGGCAAUGGACGAAAGUCUGACCAAGCAAUACUACGUGAAGGAGGAAGGUCUACGGAUUGUAAACUUCUAUGGGUAGGUAGAGAUACUUACCCUGAAAAAGUCACGACUAACUAUGUGCCAGCAGUCGCGGUAAGACAUAGGUGGCGAACGUUAUCCGGAAUUAUUGGGCGUAAAGGGUGUGUAGACGGUUUAGUAAGUUAGCGGUGGGAAAUCGAGGCCCAACCUCGUGGAAGUUGUUAAUACUGCUAUACUCGAGUGCAGGAGAGGUUAACGGAACUCUAUGUGGAGCGGUAAAAUGUGACGAUAUAUAGAAGAACACCAAUAACGGCGAAGGCAGUUAACUAUUCUGUUACUGACGUUGAGGCACGAAAGCGUGGGGAGCGAAAAGGAUUAGAUACCCUUGUAGUCCACGCCCUAAACGAUGAGUGCUAGAUAUUGGAAACUUGAUUUUCGGUGUCGCUAGGUAACCCGGUAAGCACUCCGCCUGGGUAGUACGCUCGCAAGAGUGAAACUCAAAGGAAUUGACGGGGACUCGCACAAGCAGUGGAGCAUGUGGUUUAAUCCGAUACAACGCGUAGAACCUUACCAAGGCUUGACAUGUAAGGUAGCAAUACUUAAACUAGAGAAAUCUAGUUGAAUUACACAGGUGCUGCAUGGCCGUCGUCAGUUCGUGCCGUGAGGUGUAUGGUUAAGUCCUAUAACGAACGCAACCCUUGUACUUAGUUGCCAGCACAUAAAGGUGGGAACUCUAAGUAGACUGCAAGGCGUGCUUAUGGCAUGCCUGAACUGAGUAAUCAGGAGGAAGGAAAGGAUGACGUCUGGUCGUCAUGGCCCUUAUGCCUUGGGCGACACACGUGCUACGAUAGUUAGGACAAAGGGUCGCCAACCCGCGAGGGGGAGCCAAUCCCAAAAAACUAACUUCUAUCGUUCGGAUUGGAGGCUGAAACUCGCCUCCAUGAAGCCGGAAUUGCUAGUAAUCGCAAAUCAGCCAUGUUGCGGUGAAUACGUUCUCGAGUCUUGUACACACCGCCCGUCAAGUCACGAAAGUCGGUAAUACCCAAAACCAAUUGAUAGUUGACUAGGGUAGGAUUGGCGAUUGGGGCUAAGUCGUAACAAGGUAACCGUAC